GGAGCUGAGGGUGCAGUGUUCAGCAACUCGGUGGAGACCCCACAUGUGAGAGCUGAGCCCUUCAAAGAGUUACGGCUGGAGUCUCCUACACGUUCGCUAUACAUGGAGGCACCUAAAGGAGUGAAAAUAGAAGCUGACGCAGGUGAUUUCCAAGCAACUUGUAGGAGUGAUCUACGCCUGGAGUCGAAAGAUGGAGAGAUCAGCUUGGAUGCCAGGAAAAUCAAGCUCCUACGUCUGCCGGAGGGAAAAGCCUCCCCCUCUGGAACUAGACAGACUGUCUUUGAGGUGUGUGUCUGUCCCAAUGGAAAACUCUUCUUAUCACAAGCAGGAACUGGCUCCACUUGCCAGAUCAGCAGCAACUUAUGCCUCUAAAUACUCACAAAAUCCCUUCCACACACACACACACACACACACACACAAUUACAACACACUUCUACAAACAGAGGGCUUGUUCCUCUCUUGAAGAAUCCAAUGUUGACAAGAACCGAAAAUUAUUUCCUCAAGAUUCAUGAAAAUACUUUGUAAAACUGUUUGAACAAGAAACUUUUAAGGUGAUCACCAGAAAUCGAUUCGACACAUUGUGACAGUCACCAUUCAGAUGCAUACAUCACUUUUACUCACCAGAGUCCUUUUGUCAGUCAGAAUCAGUUCAUUUAUAUAUUUUUAUUUUUUUCUGAGGAAAGUACUGUGAGUAUCUUAUAUGUCACAUAAAUAUGAAAGUUUUCUUCUGUUUAGAGGUCUAUAUGUAACAUCAAAUUGUGUGUUAUUACUCAAGUUCUACAUCUACAGCUCUCCAUCUGGGAUGCCUCCCAUGACGGUGAUCACUUAUACCCAAACUGUGCUUACACUGGGAUAAAACCCAUACACUCUGUUCAAAAAGAAGAACAGUGCCUGUGCCUUAAUUCAAUGCACAUUCAGAAGCACACCCCACUCACUUUAAUUUAGACAAGGACACUUGCAUUUAAGUUACUUGCCUUUUGCUCCCUCUUUUUUUUUUGCAGCUUAAUUGCAUGAAAAAUGUUGAGAAACCAGUUACCCCAAACUCACACAUUAUGUGCUGAUUCCUGCUUUAAUUUGGAAAAGAAAUGAAAAUUAUUCAGAUUUUGUUUCAAGAAAAGAAAAUAUUUCAGAUUUUGUUUCAAAGUUGUUUUAUUGCCUUGGCACACAAUGCAGAAAAGUUGAAAUUGGGAGAAACACUUGAUGUGUGGAUGUCUGGGUGUAAGUCUGAAUUUCAUUCUCAUUGUACAAAUGAACACUAAAAUGUACUAAACAAACCAGAGAUUUCCAAAUCAAAGCUGUCAUUCUGUCAUAUAACAAGAAGCUGUAGAAAAUGUAGAAAUUGAACGUUCAUACUUCCCAGUUCCGAAGAUUUUAUAUA
ensembl:lncRNA